GACGAACGCUGGCGGCGUGCUUAACACAUGCAAGUCGAACGGAAAGGCCCUGCUUUUGUGGGGUGCUCGAGUGGCGAACGGGUGAGUAACACGUGAGUAACCUGCCCUUUACUUUGUGAUAACUUCUGGAAACUGGGGCUAAUACCUGAUAUGAUCUCCUGCUGCUUGGUUGUGUUUGGAAAUUUUCGGCGGUUGGGGAUGGUCUCGCGGCUUAUCAGCUUUUUGGUUGGGUAGUGGCUUACCAAGGCUUUGACGGGUAGCCGGCCUGAGAGGGUGACCGGCAACAUUGGGACUGAGAUACGGCACAGACUCCAACGGGAGGCAGCAGUGGGGAAUAGUGCAAAAUGGGCGGAAGCCUGAUGCAGCAACGCAGCGUGCGGGAUGAAGGACUUCGGGUUGUAAACAGAUUUAGACUGUGAAGAAGAGUGAGUGACGGUAAUGGGUAAAGAAGCACCGGCUAACUACGUG
rnacentral:rRNA from 1 species